rnacentral:snRNA from 1 species
GUGCUUGCUUCGGUAGCACAUAUACUAAAAUUGGAACAAUACAGAGAAAAUUAACAUGGCCCCUGCACAAGGAUAACACACAAAUUUGUGAAGCGUUCCAUAAAAAA